CCUAUGAGUUCCAGUAUCGAUC
rnacentral:miRNA from 1 species